rnacentral:rRNA from 1 species
GGCCGCGGGAAUUCGAUUCAGGCCUAACACAUGCAAGUCGAGCGGAGAUGAGGUGCUUGCACCUUAUCUUAAAAGCGGACGGGUGAGUAAUGCUUAGGAAUCUGCCUAUUAGUGGGGGACAACAUUCCGAAAGGAAUGCUAAUACCGCAUACGUCCUACGGGAGAAAGCAGGGGAUCUUCGGACCUUGCGCUAAUAGAUGAGCCUAAGUCGGAUUAGCUAGUUGGUGGGGUAAAGGCCUACCAAGGCGACGAUCUGUAGCGGGUCUGAGAGGAUGAUCCGCCACACUGGGACUGAGACACGGCCCAGACUCCUACGGGAGGCAGCAGUGGGGAAUAUUGGACAAUGGGGGGAACCCUGAU